GCGACGCUGGCGGCGUGCCUAAUCAUGCAAGUCGAGCGAAGAGAUGGGAGCUUGCUCCCUGAUCUUAGCGGCGGACGGGUGAGUAACACGUGGGCAACCUGCCCUGCAGACUGGGAUAACUCCGGGAAACCGGAGCUAAUACCGGGUAAUACAUCGCACCGCAUGGUGCAAUGUUGAAAGUUGGCUUUCUGAGCUAACACUGCAGGAUGGGCCCGCGGCGCAUUAGCUAGUUGGUAAGGUAAUGGCUUACCAAGGCGACGAUGCGUAGCCGACCUGAGAGGGUGAUCGGCCACACUGGGACUGAGACACGGCCCAGACUCCUACGGGAGGCAGCAGUAGGGAAUCUUCCGCAAUGGACGAAAGUCUGACGGAGCAACGCCGCGUGAGUGACGAAGGCCUUCGGGUCGUAAAGCUCUGUUGUUAGGGAAGAACAAGUACCGUUCGAAUAGGGCGGUCCUUGACGGUACCUAACCAGAAAGCCACGGNUAACUACGUGCCANCAGCCGCGGUAAUACGUAGGUGGCAAGCGUUGUCCGGAAUUAUUGGGCCU
rnacentral:rRNA from 1 species